UUUGAAUGCAGAUGCACGAAUCACACUAGUCAUAUUGUGCACUCAGGCCACUAGCCAGUGCUGAAGUUGAACUUUAGUGAUUCCUGUUUGUGUAGAUUAUAUCUAUCCAUUUGACAUUAACUGUUUGAAGAAGUUGCAACAGUGUCCAGCAACUGGGGAUCAUUCCAAAAAUAGGUGAUUCCAUGAACUGGGAGAUUGCUAUUUGAUAUGCUUGAUGUCAAUCUGCAUCAUCUUUUGGCCAAGGAGA
rnacentral:misc_RNA from 1 species